CUACGGGGGGCUGCAGUGGGGAAUAUUGCACAAUGGGCGCAAGCCUGAUGCAGCCAUGCCGCGUGUAUGAAGAAGGCCUUCGGGUUGUAAAGUACUUUCAGCGGGGAGGAAGGGAGUAAAGUUAAUACCUUUGCUCAUUGACGUUACCCGCAGAAGAAGCACCGGCUAACUCCGUGCCAGCAGCCGCGGUAAUACGGAGGGUGCAAGCGUUAAUCGGAAUUACUGGGCGUAAAGCGCACGCAGGCGGUUUGUUAAGUCAGAUGUGAAAUCCCCGGGCUCAACCUGGGAACUGCAUCUGAUACUGGCAAGCUUGAGUCUCGUAGAGGGGGGUAGAAUCACAGGUGUAGCGGUGAAAUGCGUAGAGAUCUGGAGGAAUACCGGUGGCGAAGGCGGCCCCCUGGACGAAGACUGACGCUCAGGUGCGAAAGCGUGGGGAGCAAACAGGAUUAGAUACCCCUGUAGUC
rnacentral:rRNA from 1 species